AAACUGCUGAGAAUGUGAGUCUUCGCGGGUGUUGGAAGGUCCUUGAACAUCUACAAGAUUGUUGUAUGUACGUUGAAGAUUUCGGCAUUAUAGUCGCCCUCGAAGACUAUAACACAUCUACUUUCCUCUGGACUAAAUUUCGUAACUAUGCUUUAUUCUAUAACAAAAGGUUGUUGGUAAGAACAGAGCAGCAAUUAAAAUUAAUGCUGGUAAGAAACCUAGAGCAAGAGCAACAAUUACUUUUUAACUCCUAUACCACUGGGAUAGCUACGAAGGUUCAUGAAAGUUGACUUUAAGAUCCUAGGAUAGCAACAGAACUUUCAUUGGUUGUGCCUACAGAAAUAAUGAACUGGGAUGACUGGUGUUUAAUCAUAGGUUCUACACAGUAAGUUUUGAGUAUCCGGAGAAACUGGUGUUUUUGUUGAUAUAAAAUUUAUUCGUGUAA